AGGGCGGGCGCCGGGGCGGGGCGCGCGUCCUCGCCAGUUUGAAUGGAAGGAUCCAGAUCUGCGGAGACGGCGGCCAGCAGAUACUGAGGCCAGCACUCCUCCCCAGCCCCCGCGCCCGAGACAUGCGGCGGGAGAGGUGCGGCGCCCCCCGCCCGCGUCCCCGCCAUGGAGGUGCUGCGGCGCUCCUCGGUCUUCGCCGCCGAGAUCAUGGACGCCUUUGACCGCUCGCCCACCGACAAGGAGCUGGUGGCUCAGGCCAAGGCGCUUGGCCGGGAGUUCGUGCACGCGCGGCUGCUGCGCGCCGGCCUCGCCUGGAGCGCGCCGGAGCGCGCCACGCCCGCCCCCGGCGGCCGCCUGGCCGAAGUGUGCGCGGUGCUGCUGCGCCUGGCGGACGAGCUGGAGCUGAUCCGGCCCAGCGUCUACCGCAACGUGGCCCGCCAGCUGAACAUCUCCCUGCAGUCCGAGACCGUGGUGACCGACGCCUUCCUGGCUGUGGCAGCCCAGAUCUUUUCUGCAGGACGUACUUCUCUGCAAUCAAGCAUCCCCGCCCCACCCAGCUGGCUCUACCUUUUUCUCGUGGCGGCCUCCACACCGCCACCUGCCCCUCCGGUGCUGUGGGGCGCCCACCCCCUCGUGGGCUGUGUGACCUGCAAGUGGCUUCUUAACCUCCGUGGACCUCAGAGCCGCCUGAACGGGGUGCAGAAGCAGUGUCCGCGGAGCAUGGCGCUGCGGGUCCACCCCUCCUGCCGCCGGCUGGCUCUCAGCCCGUCCCCCUGACCAGCCCGUGGCCGCCCCAGGCGCCCUCCCGCUUCCCGCCCGCCCGAGGCCUCCCUUCAGCCCUUGCUCAUCCCAGCCUUCCCGGUCGGUCCUCAGGCCCCCAGGCCCCCAGGCGAGCUCCAGCCAUCAGACGCCUGCCCGCCCUGCCCGUCUGCCCGCAGCCUCUCCCAAGCAGCUGGGUCUUGCACUCGCUGACCCCCCGGGCUGGGCCUUCCUCCCCCUCCUCCUCCCGGCCGGCCCCUCACCUGCUCUGGCUGUGGCCGGCGACGUGGACGGCUCGAGGACUGCAGGGCAGGGUUCCAGGUGGCCCCCCCACGUGGCUGAGCCCCCGCGAAGGCAGAGGCAGGGGGCGCUGUUCCCGGCUGCGUCUUGGCUGAAGGCGCUUCUCAGUUCCCUUCAGUGGAAAAACUGAAAGUUGGCAAGUGUUUUCAUUUUUUUCUUCUCAUUACGAGAGCAAAAUAUUUCACCAUGGAAAGAUCAGCGAAUACAUGAGAUAAAGAACUCUCAGAAACCAGUACUAAAAAGACCACCUCACUUUAAAAAGAGCAAAGGGUCUGAAUAGGCAUCUCGUCAGGGAAGGUGUGUGAACAGCCAGCACGUGCACGAGAAUUUGCUCAGCCUCAUCAGUCACCAGGGAGACGCACAUCACACCACAACAAGAUGCCACCUCGCGCCCACUGGAGCACUCAAGGCAAAAGGCCAGAGAACCCAGCACGGGUGAGGCUGUGAAGAGUCAGGGCGUGAAGUGGUCCGGCAGCUUCUCCAAUGGUAACUGACGGGGUCACCCCCUGACCCAGCAGUUCCGCUCCUCGGUUUUGACCCCUGAGAAAGGAAGCCACAUGUUCACACAAGGGCUUGCACACGAGUGUUCAGAGCCGUGUACCCCCACAGCCGGAGGGGCCAGCAGCCCACGUGGUUGUUUCCUGAUGGGUGGUCCAUCCACUCGAUGGAACAUUAUUCGGCUGUAAAAAGGAAUGAGGUGCCAACACCAGGACAGCACGGAGGAACCCUGAAAACAUUUUGCUCAGUGAACGGAGUCAGACACAAAGUGGGACAUACUGUGUGACUGCAUUCACGUGAAAUGUCCAGAACAGGAAUCACCUGGGGCAAGGUCGUGUCCCUGUACUCAGUGGCUGCGGGGCUGGCCGUGGACUGCGUGCGACAGGCCCAGCCCGC